rnacentral:rRNA from 1 species
GUGAACGCUGGCGGUAGGCCUAACACCUGCAAGUCGAACGGCAGCACCGUAAGAGCUUGCUCUUACGGGUGGCGAGUGGCGGACGGGUGAGGAAUACAUCGGAAUCUACUUUUUCGUGGGGGAUAACGUAGGGAAACUUACGCUAAUACCGCAUACGACCUACGGGUGAAAGCAGGGGAUCUUCGGACCUUGCGCGAUUGAAUGAGCCGAUGUCGGAUUAGCUAGUUGGCGGGGUAAAGGCCCACCAAGGCGACGAUCCGUAGCUGGUCUGAGAGGAUGAUCAGCCACACUGGAACUGAGACACGGUCCAGACUCCUACGGGAGGCAGCAGUGGGGAAUAUUGGACAAUGGGCGCAAGCCUGAUCCAGCCAUACCGCGUGGGUGAAGAAGGCCUUCGGGUUGUAAAGCCCUUUUGUUGGGAAAGAAAAGCAGCAGGUUAAUACCCCGCUGUUCUGACGGUACCCAAAGAAUAAGCACCGGCUAACUUCGU